CUGGGUUUAGAACGUCGUGAGACAGUUCGGUCCCUAUCCGCUGCGCGCGCAGGAAUAUUGAGAAGGGCUGUCCCUAGUACGAGAGGACCGGGACGGACGAACCUCUGGUGUGCCAGUUGUUCUGCCAAGGGCAUGGCUGGUUGGCUACGUUCGGGAGGGAUAACCGCUGAAAGCAUCUAAGCGGGAAGCCUGCUUCGAGAUGAGUAUUCCCACCCCCUUUGAGGGGUUAAGGCUCCCAGUAGACGACUGGGUUGAUAGGCCGGAUGUGGAAGCCCAGUAAUGGGUGAAGCUGACUGGUACUAAUAGGCCGAGGGCUUGUCCUC
rnacentral:rRNA from 1 species